UGCGUAGGCGGUGUUAUUAGUCGGGUGUUAAAUCCUGGGGCUCAACCUCAGACUCGCAUUCGAAACGGUAACACUAGAAGAAGUAAGAGGUGAACAGAACUCUCGGUGUAGGGGUGAAAUCCGUUGAUAUCGAGGGGAAUACCAAAUGCGAAGGCAGUUCACUGGUGCUUUCUUGACGCUGAGGCACGAAAGCGUGGGUAGCGAACG
rnacentral:rRNA from 1 species